CAGUAGCCGCGGUAAUACGUAGGUGGCAAGCGUUGUCCGGAAUUAUUGGGCGUAAAGGGCUCGCAGGCGGUUUCUUAAGUCUGAUGUGAAAGCCCCCGGCUCAACCGGGGAGGGUCAUUGGAAACUGGGAAACUUGAGUGCAGAAGAGGAGAGUGGAAUUCCACGUGUAGCGGUGAAAUGCGUAGAGAUGUGGAGGAACACCCGUGGCGAAGGCGACUCUCUGGUCUGUAACUGACGCUGAGGAGCGAAAGCGUGGGGAGCGAACAGGAUUAGAUACCCCUGUAGUCCCUGUCUCUUAUAC
rnacentral:rRNA from 1 species